AAAAUAAUUCAAAAUAAAGUUCAACGGCACUCAAAGCUCACGGCUCUGUGACUGGGGUCCGCCGAGCACCCCCGGCACUUUCACCCCCAAACUGCAUUUCAGCAGGGCGGGGUGCAUCCAGGAAGAAGGGCUGGGAACCCCGGUGAGCGGGACAGAGGCGUGCCUGGGGACUCGGCCCUCU